AGAGUUUGAUCCUGGCUCAGAUUGAACGCUGGCGGCAGGCUUAACACAUGCAAGUCGAGCGGUAACAGGAAUAGCUUGCUAUUUGCUGACGAGCGGCGGACGGGUGAGUAAUGCUUGGGAAUAUGCCUUAUGGUGGGGGACAACAGUUGGAAACGACUGCUAAUACCGCAUAAUGUCUACGGACCAAAGGGGGGGAUCUUCGGACCUCUCGCCAUUUGAUUAGCCCAAGUGAGAUUAGCUAGUUGGUAAGGUAAUGGCUUACCAAGGCGACGAUCUCUAGCUGGUUUGAGAGGAUGAUCAGCCACACUGGGACUGAGACACGGCCCAGACUCCUACGGGAGGCAGCAGUGGGGAAUAUUGCACAAUGGGGGGAACCCUGAUGCAGCCAUGCCGCGUGUGUGAAGAAGGCCUUCGGGUUGUAAGGCACUUUCAGUUGUGAGGAAAGGUGUGUAGUUAAUAGCUGCAUACUGUGACGUUAACAACAGAAGAAGCAACGGCUAACUUCGUGCCAGCAGCCGCGGUAAUACGAGGGGUGCAAGCGUUAAUCGGAAUUACUGGGCGUAGAGCGUUCGUAGGCGGUUGAAUAAGCAAGAUGUGAAAGCCCAGGGCUCAACCUUGAAACUGCAUUUUGAACUGUUCGACUAGAGUACUGUAGAGGGGGGUAGAAUUUCA
rnacentral:rRNA from 1 species